rnacentral:rRNA from 1 species
AGCAUAUUAAUGAGGGGAGGAAAAGAAACUAACAAGGAUUUUCUUAGUAGCGGCGAGCGAAAAGAAAAUAGUUCAGCACUAAGUCACUUUGUCUUUAUGGCAAAUGUGAGAUGCAGUGUAUGGAAUGUCAAAUUUCUAGUAUGAGAAAUUAACGAUUUAAGUCCUUCUUAAAUGAGGCCAUUUACCCAAAGAGGGUGCCAGGCCCGUAUAACGUUAAUGAUUACUAGAUGACAUUUCCAAAGAGUCGUGUUGCUUGAUAGUGCAGCACUAAGUGGGUGGUAAACUCCAUCUAAAACUAAAUAUAACCAUGAGACCGAUAGUAAACAAGUACCGUGAGGGAAAGUUGAAAAGAACUCUGAAUAGAGAGUUAAAUAGUACGUGAAACUGCUUAGAGGUUAAGCCCGAUGAACCUGAAUAUCCGUUAUAGAAAAUUCAUCAUUAUGAUUUUAAUAUGUAUAAUAUUAUAAUAAUGGUGUGCAUUUUUUCUAUAAAAGGACAUUGUAAUCUAUUAACAUAAAAAUAUUUAUCAUAAGAUCAUUAGCAAGAGUUUAUUUAAAUUAUAUUGCUUGCAAUUUAACAUAGAAUAAAUGCUUUUGAUUUGAUAAAGUGUUGAUAGAUUUAUUAUAUAUAGUGCUUAAAUAUUAUAUAUUGUAUAAUAUCAUAUUAAUUAUUAAUUUUUAUGAUUAUUAUAUGCACUUAUAUGAUUAACAAUGCGAAAGAUUCAGGAUACCUUCGGGACCCGUCUUGAAACACGGACCAAGGAGUCUAACAUAUUUGCAAGUUAUUGGGAAUAAAAACCUAAUAGCGAAAUUAACAUAACUUAAAAAUAAUGGGAUUAGUUUUUAGCCUAUUUUAUAGGUUAUUAAUUCAAUCCCGGGGCGUUCUAUACAGUUAUGUAUAAUGAUAUUUAUAUUAUUUAUACCUCUAACUAGAGCGUACCUUGAGCAUAUAUGCUGUGACCCGAAAGAUGGUGAACUAUACUUGAUCAGGUUGAAGUCAGGGGAAACCCUGAUGGAAGACCGAAACAGUUCUGACGUGCAAAUCGAUUGUCAGAAUUGAGUAUAGGGGCGAAAGACCAAUCGAACCAUCUAGUAGCUGGUUCCCUCCGAAGUUUCCCUCAGGAUAGCUGGUGCAUUUAAAAUUGAUGUAAAAUAAUCUUAUCUGGUAAAGCGAAUGAUUAGAGGCCUUAGGGUCGAAACGAUCUUAACCUAUUCUCAAACUUUAAAUGGGUAAGAACCUCACCUUUCUUGGUAUGAAGGUAGUGGUUGUGAUAUAAUGUGCCCAGUGGGCCACUUUUGGUAAGCAGAACUGGCGCUGUGGGAUGAACCAAACGUAAUGUUACGGUGCCCAAAUUAACAACUCAUGCAGAUACCAUGAAAGGCGUUGGUUGCUUAAAACAGCAGGACGGUGGACAUGGAAGUCGUAAUCCGCUAAGGAGUGUGUAACAACUCACCUGCCGAAGCAACUAGCCCUUAAAAUGGAUGGCGCUUAAGUUGUAUACCUAUACAUUACCGCUAAAGUAGAUGGNUUAUGUUCAAUCUCGGUUGGAUUAUAAGCUUUGAAACUUUAGUGAGUAGGAGGGUACAGUGGUGAGCAUAGAAGUGUUUGGCGUAAGCCUGCAUGGAGCUGCCAUUGGUACAGAUCUUGGUGGUAGUAGCAAAUAAUCGAAUGAGACCUUGGAGGACUGAAGUGGAGAAGGGUUUCGUGUGAACAGUGGUUGAUCACGAGUUAGUCGGUCCUAAGUUCAAGGCGAAAGCCGAAAAUUUUCAAGUUAUAAUGAAAAAAAAAAAAAAGAAAACAAAGUUUCUGAUUAAAAUAUAUUAUUAUUAAACACUUGAAUAAUUUUGAACGAAAGGGAAUACGGUUCCAAUUCCGUAACCUGUUGAGUAUCCGUUUGUUAUUAAAUAUGGGCCUUGUGCUCAUCCUGGCAACAGGAACGACCAUAAAGAAGCCGUCGAGAGGUAUCGGAAGAGUUUUCUUUUCUGUUUUAUAGUCGUACUACCAUGGAAGUCUUUCGAAGAGAGAUAUGGUAGAUGGACUAGAAGAGCAUGACAUUUACUGUUGUGUCGAUAUUUUCUCCUCGGACCUUGAAAAUUUAUGGUGGGGUCACGCAAACUUCUCAACAGGCCGUACCAAUAUCCGCAGCUGGUCUCCAAGGUGAAGAGUCUCUAGUCGAUAG